CAAUAGCGUAUAUUUAAGUUGUUGCAGUUAAAAAGCUCGUAGUUGGAUUUCGGGUUGGCUUCAGCGGUCUCGCUUUGGGUUUGUACUGCCGCAGCCUUCCUUCUUGCUGGGGACGGUCCUCCGGGCUUCAUUGCUUGGGGUCUGGAAUCAGCGACGUUACUUUGAGUAAAUUAGAGUGUUCAAAGCAAGCCUACGCUCUGAAUAUAAUAGCAUGGGAUAACACGACAGGACUCUGGCCUAUCGUGUUGGUCUGUAGGACCAGAGUAAUGAUUAAGAGGGACAGUCGGGGGCAUUCGUAUUCCGUUGUCAGAGGUGAAAUUCUUGGAUUUACGGAAGACGAACAUCUGCGAAAGCAUUUGCCAAGGAUGUUUUCAUUGA
rnacentral:rRNA from 1 species